rnacentral:rRNA from 1 species
UACGUAGGGGGCAAGCGUUGUCCGGAAUUAUUGGGCGUAAAGAGCGUGUAGGCGGUCCGGUAAGUCCGCUGUGAAAGUCCAGGGCUCAACCCUGGAAUGCCGGUGGAUACUGCCGGGCUAGGGUCCGGAAGAGGCGAGUGGAAUUCCUGGUGUAGCGGUGAAAUGCGCAGAUAUCAGGAGGAACACCGAUGGCGAAGGCAGCUCGCUGGGACGGUACUGACGCUGAGACGCGAAAGCGUGGGGGAGCAAACAGG